rnacentral:rRNA from 1 species
GCGGGGAAUAGCCCAGAGAAAUUUGGAUUAAUACCCCAUAAGAUAUUGACACGGCAUCGUGAUGAUAUUAAAGCUUCGGCACUUGAUGAUGGGUGUGCGUAUGAUUAGGUAGUUGGCGGGGUAAUGGCCCACCAAGCCUACGAUCAUUAGCUGAUGUGAGAGCAUGAUCAGCCACACGGGCACUGAGACACGGGCCCGACUCCUACGGGAGGCAGCAGUAAGGAAUAUUGGACAAUGGACGCAAGUCUGAUCCAGCCAUGCCGCGUGAAGGAUUAAGGUCCUCUGGAUUGUAAACUUCUUUUAUAGGGGACGAAAAAAGGGCAUUCUUGCUCACUUGACGGUACUCUAUGAAUAAGCACCGGUUAACUCCGUGCCAGCAGCCGCGGUAAUACGGAGGGUGCAAGCGUUAUCCGGAUUCACUGGGUUUAAAGGGUGCGUAGGCGGGUAUGUAAGUCAGUGGUGAAAUCUCGAAGCUUAACUUCGAAACUGCCAUUGAUACUAUAUAUCUUGAAUAUUGUGGAGGUUUGCGGAAUAUGUCAUGUAGCGGUGAAAUGCUUAGAUAUGACAUAGAACACCUAUUGCGAAGGCAGCAGGCUACACAUAUAUUGACGCUGAGGCACGAAAGCGUGGGGAUCAAACAGGAUUAGAUACCCUGGUAGUCCACGCCCUAAACGAUGGAUACUCGACAUACGCGAUACACAGUGUGUGUC